AUGAAAGCGGGGGAUCGCAAGACCUCGCGCGUUUGGAGCGGCCGAUGGCAGAUUAGGUAGUUGGUGGGGUAAAGGCUUACCAAGCCCGCGAUCUGUAGCUGGUCUGAGAGGAUGAUCAGCCACACUGGGACUGAGGACACGGCCCAGACUCCUACGGGAGGCAGGCAGUGGGGAAUUUUGGACAAUGGGCGAAAGCCUGGAUCCAGCCAUUCCGCGUGCAGGAUGAAGGCCCUCGGGUUGUAAACUGCUUUUGUACAGAACGAAAAGCUCUUUCUAAUACAGAGAGUCCAUGACGGUACUGUAAGAAUAAGCACCGGCUAACUACGUG
rnacentral:rRNA from 1 species